AACGUUUUAGAGUGCAAAAAAAACGUUUGAGAGAAAAAUCAAACGUUUGAAACAGAAAAAAACUUUCGAGAGAGGGAAAACAUUUGGAAAGAUAUUUCUUUUUUUUGGUAAUGGCGGGAAAUUACCAUUAUGGUGGUAAUGGCGGUAAUUCUCGGGAGUGGAUGUACAAGAGGUUUGAUGAAAUGACGGGAAAUUUCUCAGCAGAGUUUGAAGCGGGGGUAGAGAAAUUCAUGACAUAUGCAAAU
rnacentral:lncRNA from 1 species